UCGGGAAUUUUGGGCAAUGGGCGAAAGCCUGACGCAGCGACGCCGUGUGGGUGAUGAAGGCCUUCGGGUCGUAAAGCCCUGUCAGGAGGGACGAAAUCUUGGCGGCCUAAUAUGCCGUCUACUUGACGGUACCUCCAAAGGAAGCACCGGCUAACUCCGUGCCAGCAGCCGCGGUAAUACGGAGGGGGCUAGCGUUGUUCGGAAUUACUGGGCGUAAAGGGCGCGUAGGCGGAUGUUCAAGUCGGGGGUGAAAUCCCGGGGCUCAACCCCGGAACUGCCUCCGAUACUGGAUGUCUGGAGGACGGGAGAGGCGAGUGGAAUGCCGAGUGUAGAGGUGAAAUUCGUAGAUAUUCGGCGGAACACCCGUGGCGAAGGCGGCUCGCUGGUCCGUUUCUGACGCUGAGGCGCGAAAGCGUGGGGAGCAA
rnacentral:rRNA from 1 species